AACGCUGUGAGAGUCCAGAUGAAGAUGAUGAUGAAGGUCAUGUUGAUGAAGAUUGUUGUGUGUGUCAGUGAUGAAGUGUUAAACUCACAGCACUAUAAACACUCUCAGAGCACUGAAGCAUCUGAUCAAUAUGCAAACACACUCCAGAUCAUUUACCUGAAGACAGCAGAAACACUGUUUUGUCAUUUAGUAUCUUUGCUAAUAAAUUUCUAUUGAUCAUUUUCAGAAACAGACACUCAUGAUUUACUUCAUGUUAUUUUGGGUGGAUCUUCUCCCUCUAAACACUGUUUUAAUGAUCAGUUUCAUUCAGACUUUGAUGCUGAGAGCAUUUCAUACCUGUGCUGCAGAUUUGAUAUCAUCAUGAUACUGUAGAACAGGUCAAAGGUCAUCCAAUAGAGAAUGACCAUCUAAAUAUUGCUGAAGAUUUCAUUGUAAAGCAGCUCAAUCAUGUUGAUGUUGAGAAGAUCUGCUGUUGAGUCUCAUAUCAGUGUGUGUGAGUGUCGUUCGUCUCUUUCUCUGCUGGAGUUUGUGUUCAUUUGAGUGUGACGGAGGUUUUUGUACGACGCUUUCACUAGAAUGAAGCACUGUGGUUGACUUUCGGUGGAGGAACUGAACUGACCAUCAGAACUGGUCCCGCAGUGAAGCCCUCCGUGUCUCUGCUGCCGCCCUCUUCUCUGCAGAUCUCUGGAGACUCAGCCGCACUGCUCUGCCUGCUCAGCUCUUACUCUCCACAGGGGGCGACGGUGAGCUGGACGCUGGACGGGUCAGAGGUCACCGAGGGGGUUCAGACCAGCGCAGAGAGCGAGCGGGACGGACGCUACAGCCGCAGCAGCGUCCUGAGCCUCAGCAAAGCACGCUGGGAAGGCGCAGAUCGCUUCGUCUGCAGAGUAAGACAUGACGGAGCUGAUCACGAGGCCUCGUUCCUCAAGAGCUCAGAGUGCUGAUGUUUCUCCAGUCGAGACGAGCCGUAUCUGAGCGUCUGGCAGGAUUCACAGGCAGUCACGUGAUUUACAGCUCAAUACUGAAGCAGUCUUUCAAUGUGCUGCCAUUGCUGUUCAUUCAAUAAAGCUUCUGAACGCGUUA